rnacentral:rRNA from 1 species
GACAGAGGGUGCCAAGCGUUAGGCGGAAUCAUCUGGGCGUUAAAGCGUGUGUAGGCGGAUCGUUAAGUACCUUGUGGAAAUCCCACGGCUCAACCGUGGAACUGCUGGGUAUACUGGCGAUCUUGAGCCACCUAGGGCGAGCGGAACAAGCGGUGGAGCGGUGAAAUGCGUAGAUAUCGCUUGGACGCCAAUGGUGAAAACAGCUCGCUGGGGGUGUGGCUGACGCUGGAGACACGGAAAGACCAGGGGAGCGAACGGG